GUCAGGCAUGGUGGUGCACAGCUGCUCAGGAGGCUGAAAUGGGAGGAUCACUUGAGCCUAGGAAGUGGAGGUUGCAGUGAGCCGAGAUUGCACCACUGUACCCAGUAUGGGUGACAGAGUGAGACCCUGUCUCAAAAAAAAAAAAAGUGUUCAGACAUCAAAAUAAAUAAUGUGUCUUAUCAAAAGAUGAUCCUAUCCUUUGAAAAAUAUUAAUGGCAAAAAAUUUCAACUCAACCUGGGCUGUGGAUACCACGUGUUUUAAUGUGUUUGCUCUGAUUAGAGAGAGUCCUCCUGACAGUCAAAGGGCCCAGGGCCUGCAAAGUUCUUGAGCCUGGCAGCUAAGGCCCUCAUAGGAGGAUGACUACCCCACGUGGACCUCAGCGAAUCUGAAAAGGAAUGGAAGAAACUCCACUCUGCCUAGUUCCUUGCUUUCUAACCAUGUUGGUGUGAGGUGCUUCUACCCAGCAAAGAAAUGCCAGGAAUAUGGCCAUCACUCACCCAGACAGGAUCACUACCUUCGAGACCUUGCACAGACUCAAGGAGUAUGGACCUGGGAGUCCCAGCGCACGCUGGGCUGGCCCUGCACCAUCAACUAGCUCCAUGCCAUCCACCCUGUCAGAUCUCUGCCCAAAUCCAGCCCUUGGCCUCCAGAUCCUGAAGCUGAAAGCUCCCAGCACCUGCUCUCCCUCUGCCUCUUCCAUCCUUGUGAACAAGCGGCCCAGCUCAGGCCACUAACCUGACUUCCUGACCUCUGGCUCUAGCUUCCAGGCUGGGAGUUGGAGUGGAGGUGGACUCAUUUUUGGAAUAACCAGCCUCAGGAGUCAAAAAUACAGUUUUACAGACUGGAACCCUGUUUGGGGAGGUUUCUGAGUCCCUUGAUGUACGCAAGAGCCAGCUUCACACACAAACGCACACGCACACACACAUGCAUGCAUGCACACACCUGGUCAGCCCUCCCCCAACAUACUAUUCCAUGUAAAUCCUCACACAUACCAUACACAUAUGGUCAAAAUACUCCAUGUAUCCCACACUCUGUGCUCACACAUUGUGCCACAUGCACAUCCAUGACUCCACCUUGCCCGAUAUAGACCCACAGUGCUCACACACACACACAAACAUGCAUACACAGUUACACCCUCACAACCGCACUUGCACAUCCACAUCCAUUCACAUGCUCACUCCUUCAUACUCACACACAAAUAUGUGUGUACCUUCAGGCCUCAUGCUCAUGGACAUUUACACACGGGCUCACUCUUACUGCCUUACACGCACACGCACACAUCAUACAUCCUUACCCAACAGGCGCUGUUCCAAGCACUUUAUGUGAUAAGCUCACCCCGAGUAACACAACCUAUGAGGGAGGUACUAUAUCACUUCCAUUGUAUAGAUGAGGGAACUGAAGCACAGAGAGGUUAAGUCACUUGUCUAACACCACACAGCUAUUAAUGGCAGAGCUGGAAUCCAAACCCAAGCCAUCAGGCUCCCCAAUCCAAGCUCUUAGCCACUACAUUCCAUGGUCUGUUUGGUGGCAGAAAUAAAGUUAGUUAUUACAAUAAGCCUUGGAAAGAGUUUGUAGUUUUGCUGUGUCUCAGUUUGCCAUCACUUUCCUCAGAAGGGGAUAAAAAUCAGUCCAGCCUCUGUCUAUG
rnacentral:lncRNA from 10 species